rnacentral:rRNA from 1 species
UGAGUACGAGAUGCUACGGCAUCGAAGCAGUCUAUGUCAUACUUCCAAGAAAAGCUCGCACUGUCAUAAACAAAUAAUGCCUGUACCAUAACCGACACAGGUGGGUAGGUAGAGUAUACUAAGGGGCGCGAGAUAACUCUCUCUAAGGAACUCGGCAAAAUGACUCCGUAACUUCGGGAGAAGGAGUGCCUUAUUUAUAAGGUUGCAAUAACAAGAUCCAAGCAACUGUUUAUCAAAAACACAGGUCUCCGCUAAGUCGUAAGACGAUGUAUGGGGGCUGACGCCUGCCCAGUGCCAGAAGGUUAAAGAAGUUGGUUAGCAUUAGCGAAGCUGAUAACUGAAGCCCUGGUGAACGGCGGCCGUAACAAUAACGGUCCUAAGGUAGCGAAAUUCCUUGUCGGGUAAGUUCCGACCCGCACGAAAGGCGUAAUGAUUUGGAUACUGUCUCGGAGAGGGGCUCGGUGAAAUAGACUUGUCUGUGAAGAUGCGGACUACCUGCACCAGGACAGAAAGACCCUAUGAAGCUUUACUGUAACUUGAAAUUGAAAUUGGACUUUAUUUGCGCAGCAUAGGUGGGAGGCGUUGAAAAUAUUCUCGCGGGAAUAUUAGAGCCAUCAGUGAGAUACCACUCUUGUAAUGUUAGAUUUCUAACUUUGUAUCAUUAUCUGGUCAAAGAACAGUUUCAGGCGGGCAGUUUGACUGGGGCGGUCGCCUCCUAAACGGUAACGGAGGCGCACAAAGGUUUCCUCUGAACGGGUAGAAAUCGUAUCUAGAGUGUAAAGGCAUAAGGAAGCUUGACUGUGAGACCUACAAGUCGAGCAGGGACGAAAGUCGGUCUUAGUGAUCUGACGGUGCUGAGUGGAAAGGCCGUCACUCAACGGAUAAAAGUUACUCUAGGAUAACAGGCUGAUCUCCCCCAAGAGUUCACAUCGACGGGGAGGUUUGGCACCUCGAUGUCGGCUCAUCGCAUCCUGGGGCGGUAGUACGUCCCAAGGGUUGGGCUGUUCGCCCAUGAAAGCGGUACGCGAGCUGGGUUCAGAACGUCGUGAGACAGUUCGGUCCAUAUCCGGUGUAGGCGUUAGAAUAUUGAGAGGAGCCUUCUUUAGUACGAGAGGACCGAGAAGGACAUACCUCUGGUGUACCAGUUAUCGUGCCAACGGUAAACGCUGGGUAGCUAUGUAUGGAGAGGAUAACCGCUGAAAGCAUCUAAGUGGGAAGCCCACCUCAAGAUAAG